rnacentral:rRNA from 1 species
AGUGAACGCUGGCGGUAGGCCUAACACAUGCAAGUCGAACGGCAGCACAGUAAGAGCUUGCUCUUACGGGUGGCGAGUGGCGAACGGGUGAGGAAUACAGCGGAAUCUACUUUUUCGUGGGGGAUAACGUAGGGAAACUUACGCUAAUACCGCAUACGACCUACGGGUGAAAGCAGGGGAUCUUCGGACCUUGCGCGAUUGAAUGAGCCGAUGUCGGAUUAGCGAGUUGGCGGGGUAAAGGCCCACCAAGGCGACGAUCCGUAUCUGGUCUGAGAGGAUGAUCGGCCACACUGGAACUGAGACACGGUCCAGACUCCUACGGGAGGCAGCAGUGGGGAAUAUUGGACAAUGGGCGCAAGCCUGAUCCAGCCAUACCGCGUGGGUGAAGAAGGCCUUCGGGUUGUAAAGCCCUUUUGUUGGGAAAGAAAAGCAGCAGGUUAAUACCCCGCUGUUCUGACGGUACCCAAAGAAUAAGCACCGGCUAACUUCGUG